UGCUUAACUGGCUGAGCCACCCAGUCGCCCCUGAUAGGAUUUUUUGAAAGUCCACUUAUAAAUGUUGCAGUGAGAGAAACUUCCUACCUUGUAGCAAUGCUGGCUACUAUACUCCUCACCCGAUUUGGGGGCUCCCAUGAAUUCGUGCCACCACACACUGUCAUCUUUCAUCUAAGAGCGGCGUCCUUCCUAAUACUCAAGGAAUGAUAGGAUUACCAAUCGGCCAUUAAAUGAGUGUGUUUCCAUCAGAGACAUCACAAUGUUUGCAGAAAAGAUGCAUUUAGUUGAUGCGAAUAAAUAUGUCUCUUCAGUACCAAGAAGUACCACAGGAUAGAAAUUACCGUUGUUUUUCUCCUGCCACUGCCCCUUCUCCCCCCGACCCCCCCUCACUGUGCUGUAGAUCACUUGUCCUGUUCGCGAAUGUAUUAGUAUAUACCUUUAUCUCCUGAAGAUGUGAAACAACUUCCAUCUUCAGAGAAUCA